CCUGGGGAGUACGACCGCAAGGUUGAAACUCAAAGGAAUUGACGGGGGCCCGCACAAGCGGUGGAGCAUGUGGUUUAAUUCGAAGCUACGCGAAGAACCUUACCAGGUCUUGACAUCUUGCGCCAACCCUAGAGAUAGGGCGUUUCCUUCGGGACCGCACGACAGGUGGUGCAUGGUCGUCGUCAGCUCGUGUCGUGAGAUGUUGGGUUAAGUCCCGCAACGAGCGCAACCCUUGUUACUAGUUGCCAGCAUUAAGUUGGGCACUCUAGUGAGACUGCCGGUGACAAACCGGAGGAAGGUGGGGACGACGUCAGAUCAUCAUGCCCCUUAUGACCUGGGCUACACACGUGCUACAAUGGACGGUACAACGAGUCGCGAACUCGCGAGGGCAAGCAAAUCUCUUAAAACCGUUCUCAGUUCGGACUGCAGGCUGCAACUCGCCUGCACGAAGUCGGAAUCGCUAGUAAUCGCGGAUCAGCAUGCCGCGGUGAAUACGUUCC
rnacentral:rRNA from 1 species